rnacentral:rRNA from 1 species
GACGAACGCUGGCGGCGCGCUUAACACAUGCAAGUCGAACGGAAAGGCCUGCUUUCCCUUGUGGAUUGCGGGUACUCGAGUGGCGAACGGGUGAGUAACACGUGAGUGAUCUGCCCCCAACUUGGGUAUAAGCCUGGGAAACUGGGUCUAAUUCCCGAUAGGACUGCAGGGUGGUGCCUGUGGUGGAAAACGAUUUUCUAGUGGUUGGGGAUGAGCUCGCGGCCUAUCAGCUUGUUGGUGGGGUAAUGGCCUACCAAGGCGGCGACGGGUAGCCGGCCUGAGAGGGUGGACGGCCACAUUGGGACUGAGAUACGGCCCAGACUCCUACGGGAGGCAGGAGUGGGGAAUAUUGCACAAUGGGCGGGAGCCUGAUGCAGCGACGCCGCGUGGGGGAUGACGGCCUUCGGGUUGUAAACUCCUUUCGACCGCGAGGAAGCCACCUGGUUGGAAGGGUGGUGACGGUAGUGGUAGAAGAAGCACCGGCUAACUACGUG